GCCAGGCAAGGUGGUGCAUGCCUGUAAUCCCAGCUACUCGAGAGGCUGAGGCAGGAGAAUCGCUUGAACCCGGGAGGCGGUGGUUGCGGUGAGCCGAGAUCGUGCCAUUGCACUCCAGCCUGGGCAACAAGAGCGAGACUCCGUCUCAAAAAAAAAAAAAGGAAAUGAAAUGGAGUCUUGCUUUGUUGUCCAGGCUGGAGUGCAAUGGCGCGAUCUCUGCUCACCGCAACCUUCGCCUUCUGGGUUCAAGCGAUUCUCCUGCCUCAG
rnacentral:SRP_RNA from 1 species